CACUAUGUUGUGCUCGUCGGUGCCGAUCGCGAGGUCGGCUGAAAAGGGAAGCCGGUAGGAAUCGCGCUCACGCGUGGUUCGAAGCCGGCGCUGCCCCGCAGCGGUAUGGGAAACGAACGGGUCAUGGCACUGGGCGGUACGCCUGGGAAGCGAUCCUGGUAGGAGGAACGGGACACGGGCAAAGAAAAGUGAGAAACGGGUCACCCCUCGUCGCUCACUUCUCUUUGCCCGUUUCUCGCUCCGGGUCCCGAGCCCGAAGACCUGCCGACAGCCGCGCGUCGCA
rnacentral:ncRNA from 2 species